UAAGGCAAAAUGCUCUGGGUGACUGUAA
rnacentral:piRNA from 1 species